rnacentral:rRNA from 1 species
AGAGUUUGAUCCUGGCUCAGGACGAACGCUGGCGGCACGCUUAACACAUGCAAGUCGAACGAGAGAAGAGGAGCUUGCUUUUCUGAUCUAGUGGCGGACGGGUGAGUAACACGUGAGCAAUCUGCCUUUCAGAGGGGGAUACCGAUUGGAAACGAUCGUUAAUACCGCAUGACAUAAUUGAACCGCAUGAUUUGAUUAUCAAAGAUUUAUCGCUGAAAGAUGAGCUCGCGUCUGAUUAGCUAGUUGGUAAGGUAACGGCUUACCAAGGCGACGAUCAGUAGCCGGACUGAGAGGUUGAUCGGCCACAUUGGGACUGAGACACGGCCCAGACUCCUACGGGAGGCAGCAGUGGGGAAUAUUGCACAAUGGAGGAAACUCUGAUGCAGCGAUGCCGCGUGAGGGAAGAAGGUUUUAGGAUUGUAAACCUCUGUCUUCAGGGACGAAAAAAGACGGUACCUGAGGAGGAAGCUCCGGCUAACUACGUGCCAGCAGCCGCGGUAAUACGUAGGGAGCGAGCGUUGUCCGGAAUUACUGGGUGUAAAGGGAGCGUAGGCGGGAUCGCAAGUCAGAUGUGAAAACUAUGGGCUUAACCCAUAAACUGCAUUUGAAACUGUGGUUCUUGAGUGAAGUAGAGGUAAGCGGAAUUCCUAGUGUAGCGGUGAAAUGCGUAGAUAUUAGGAGGAACAUCAGUGGCGAAGGCGGCUUACUGGGCUUUAACUGACGCUGAGGCUCGAAAGCGUGGGGAGCAAACAGGAUUAGAUACCCUGGUAGUCCACGCCGUAAACGAUGAUUACUAGGUGUGGGGGGACUGACCCCUUCCGUGCCGCAGCAAACGCAAUAAGUAAUCCACCUGGGGAGUACGACCGCAAGGUUGAAACUCAAAGGAAUUGACGGGGGCCCGCACAAGCAGUGGAGUAUGUGGAUUAAUUCGAAGCAACGCGAAGAACCUUACCAGGUCUUGACAUCGUAUGCAUAGCUCAGAGAUGAGUGAAAUCUCUUCGGAGACAUAUAGACAGGUGGUGCAUGGUUGUCGUCAGCUCGUGUCGUGAGAUGUUGGGUUAAGUCCCGCAACGAGCGCAACCCUUACUGUUAGUUGCUACGCAAGAGCACUCUAGCAGUACUGCCGUUGACAAAACGGAGGAAGGUGGGGAUGACGUCAAAUCAUCAUGCCCCUUAUGACCUGGGCCUCACACGUACUACAAUGGCUGUCAACAGAGGGAAGCAAAGCCGCGAGGUGGAGCGAACCCCUAAAAGCAGUCUUAGUUCGGAUUGUAGGCUGCAACCCGCCUACAUGAAGUCGGAAUUGCUAGUAAUCGCAGAUCAGCAUGCUGCGGUGAAUACGUUCCCGGGCCUUGUACACACCGCCCGUCACGCCAUGGGAGUCGGUAACACCCGAAGCCUGUAGUCUAACCGCAAGGAGGACGCAGUCGAAGGUGGGAUUGAUGACUGGGGUGAAGUCGUAACAAAGUA